CAGUCGCCGCGGGAAUACGUAGGUGGCAAGCGUUGUCCGGAAUUAUUGGGCGUAAAGGGCUCGCAGGCGGUUUCUUAAGUCUGAUGUGAAAGCCCCCGGCUCAACCGGGGAGGGUCAUUGGAAACUGGGAAACUUGAGUGCAGAAGAGGAGAGUGGAAUUCCACGUGUAGCGGUGAAAUGCGUAGAGAUGUGGAGGAACACCAGUGGCGAAGGCGACUCUCUGGUCUGUAACUGACGCUGAGGAGCGAAAGCGUGGGAGCGAACAGGAUUAGAUACCCGCGUAGUCCCUGUCUCUUAUACA
rnacentral:rRNA from 1 species